CCUUAACCCCUUUGUUGCGUUCUCCGUGAUUUCGGGUCUCUCCCUUAACCUCCUUCAUGCGUUCUCCGUGAUUUCGGACCUCCUGCACCCUACUCUCUCUUACCCUCUCUCCUUUUCUCUCUCUGAGAUGUGGGGCCCUAUUCUUCUCCGCACCCUACUCUCCCUUACCCUCUCUCCUUCUCAACGAAGCCUAACCCUCUCUCGCUUUCUUUUCUCGCCGCCUCUACAGAUUUCCCGGGAUUCGUCUGCCCCUCUCGCCUAUGUUUGCGUAGGAUUAGUACUUCGCCAGCGCAUUUAAUGGCGCCGCGCGGUGCCGCUUGCUUGCCCAACGAUUGUUCCCUCUUUGCGCCGUACCUUCAAAUCCCAUGAAAUCCGCCGCAAAUAUUGCCGGAGAAUUUGCAUCACCACCAUCACAUCCGCGCCGGCUAUGUACGCAACACGCACACCAACUGUUCGGUGAAAUUUCUCACACAAAAAAUAUUUUUUUUUUCAAAAAAAGAAAUUUUCUUGGUAUUGGUACCUUGCAUUAUCGUGGGCAUCUCUUUAUUUUCUAAUGUACACCUUGCAUUGUCGUGGGCGCCGUGAGGGCGAUCGCGGAACUCGAGCGGGUGGGCGAAGGGCAACUCAAUGUGCCGCCAAGACGAUGGCUCGCGUUACCCUUCAAUGUCACGAGCCAUAUGACUCUGUUCCUCACUGAGGGUGCCCAAAUUCUUGGGAUAGAGGUGAAAGUUAAUUCUUUCCCAGUUGAAAAAUAUUGGUAUUGGUAAAAAUUUCUUUGUAUAUGCUGGCGCUCUCUCUUUCUGAUGUGUGAUUUGUUUGCAUCAAUGCUGUCUACACCACUCUCUCGCCAGUGAGCGCAAUAUAGCAAUCACAGGUCUAUUUUUCUUCAAUUUCUACAAGAAUUACCAUGCUUGCAGAAGAAGCAAAAGAUUCAGCUUGCUUCUUCAAGUUGCAAGUUCUAUUUAGUUUUCAAGCUAUUGAUUUCAUAGUACUUAGCUGUCUUCAUUUUGAAUCUUCAACAAUAUUGGUUUUAAAGUUAUUUAUAGAUAUAUGUUCUUAAUUUUUUUUAAAUUUUUUUUAUCAAAUAUUCCGUUUUGAGAUAAACUUUUCUAUAUAUUUAUUUUUUUCCAUAUUUAUAUAGAACUAUUUGAUGUUUGGUUUAUUAAGAUUAUAAAAUAUUGCCGUCAUUUCUAUUUGUGUUGUGCAUCUUUGUAAGGUAACACCAUCCUCCAGAUGUUCGAAGAAAUGUCAAUAUAAGGUUUUUCCCUCAUGGUAUCGAAUUUCUAUAGCAAGUUUAAUUUUUACAGAUACUUUUUUUCAUGAUAUAGCUAAUUUUUUAAAGAUAUUAAUUUUAGUAAUUAUCUUUUGAAUCGUUUUAUUUGAAUAAUUUAACAGUUCUUUCAUAUCAGAUUUCUGAGCAUUUACUAAAAUGGACUUUGAGUAUCACUAUUUUAUUAACUCAUUUUUCUAUAAUUUUGCUUCCACUAUGUUGCCUUUUUGCUUUCGAUUCUUUUUUUUAUAUAAGGCAAUGAUGCCAUGAAUAGCUCUGUAUUAAAGCAAUGCUACGUAGGCAGCUCCCUGAUAUUUCCUUCUCUCCUGUCAAGGUAAUGUUGCUAUAGCUAGCUCUCUGAUAUUCCUUUCUCUGCUAUCUAUGGAUAAAGGCGUGGCAAGACGAAUGGCCUUAGGGCAAUCACUGCAGCCUUCUACCAUUACUUCACUGUUUGAUUCAGCAUGAAGCCCAUCAUAGUUCUUCGGAGUCUGAGCCUUAUAUGUUUUCUUUUUAUACUUAUUAUUAUUUUAAAGAUUAUUCUGUAAGCAAUUACUAUUACUAUUAUUUUUGUAAAAAAAAGGUUUCUACAUUUCCUGACCAUUCGGACAAUCCAUUUUAAGUGAGUUGAGAAAAUUUCUAAGUACUCUAACACUUUGAAAUUAUAUUGAACCUAUUUCAAUUUAUCUUUUUCGGAGGUUGAGUUGAUUUUUGUAAAAAAAAUUUCUCAUAUUUAAACUGAUCUUUGUGAAUAAUUCCAAGGCCAAAGUAGAAAGAACUUGAAGGAAUGUCUUUGGUGUUUGGAAUUAGGUUGAGUGUGAUAUUGUAAAGUUGAGUAGAGUUACUAUUUUGUCAUAAUUUUUGCCUUAAACUGUAGGAAUUUUGUUGUGAAGGCCGCUUUGAGAGGUAUCAUAAACUAUGUGAAUAUCAUAAAACAUGACAAAAACAUGCUUCACGGUGAAUUUUUGAUUUUCCAUCAUGUAUGUCCCCCAUCAAUCAAAUUGGGAAGACAAAUUGUCGGGUUAGACAAACUUGAGAGAAACCCGAACAGGACAUUUUGGAGGUCCAUGGUGGUAGUGGAGAUCUUGAUCUUUAUGGAAUGAUUUUUUAUUUAUAAGUUCUUCUAACCUAUCCGUUCUAUUAUUAUUAUCUUCCUUUGAACUGUUCAAGUUUUUCAAUUUGCUUUUUGUACUCUCCUUAUUUAAUAGUUAGAAGAGGGCUUAAUGGCCUUCACAGUUUUGA